rnacentral:rRNA from 1 species
CCUACGGGAGGCAGCAGUGGGGAAUAUUGGACAAUGGGGGGAACCCUGAUCCAGCGACGCCGCGUGAGUGAAGAAGUAUUUCGGUAUGUAAAGCUCUAUCAGCAGGGAAGAAAAUGACGGUACCUGACUAAGAAGCCCCGGCUAACUACGUGCCAGCAGCCGCGGUAAUACGUCGGGGGCAAGCGUUAUCCGGAUUUACUGGGUGUAAAGGGAGCGGAGACGGUGCAGCAAGUCUGAUGUGAAAGGUCGGGGCCCAACCCCGGGACUGCAUUGGAAACGGGUGAACUGGAGUACGGGAGAGCUCAGCUGCAUCCCUAGUGUAGCGGUGAAAUGCGUAGAUAUUAGGAGGAACACCUGUGGCGACGGCGGCUUACUGGACUGUACCUGACGUUGCGGCUCGAAAGCGUGGGGAGCAAACAGGAUUAGAUACCCUAGUAGUC